CUUAUAUUACCAAUAUUUUCAUAAACAUAUAUUUUGAUAAAGUACUGAGUCACCACUUUAUAUCCACAAAGGCAAAUAACUAAUGUAUGAGAAUAGAAUAAUUUUUACUAAUUAUUGUAAAUUCUCCUACUCUUUAAAUGAGUAAGAGGUCCAAUUUCAUGAAAGAUUGAAAAUAAAUUGAAUAUCUAGUAUAAUAUAGGAGAGGUUGACCAAGGAAGAAUUGUAGCUUGGUACCAAGGUUAAAAUGACAUUUCUCUAUUGCCUAUUGUUUAUGUUAAAUUUGAUUUCUUUUUCUUUAAUUAUAUUUUUAACAUUGCUGAUAGAAAAUAUGUUCCUGUGUUUCACAUGAAAAAGCAUAUAUAUACAAGUUAAGUAUAUUGAGUAAAACAUUUUACAAAGUCAUGCAUUUACAAAUUUUUGAGAGGUUAGCUACUAAAAUUAAUUUCACAAGGGAAAGCCUUCGUUCUACAAUAUACAGUUUUUCUUCUUAGUUUUGAAUUAGAAGUGGCAUCUGUUUUAGUUCUGAAAAUAUAACUUGGCUGUUUCGCACUGCGUCUGAAUAUUGUUUUCUGUAGGAGCGGGAUAGAUAAUUAUAUAUAGUAUCAUAAUAUUCUUUGUAUCCACAUGCCAAAUGGGAGUAAUAUUUAUUUAAUACUCUUAGAUGCCUUAUGUUACCCAAACAUACAGUAAAAACGUAGAAAUUUAGGCACUUGUUCUUCAAGUCAACCCCUUGGGUCUCUUCCAGAUGUACUUCCUUUCUUUUCUGCUCUAAAGCCUUUUUAAAUAAACCUCCACUCCUGCUCUGAAAAAAAGUAAAAAUUUAUGAAAUAUUUUCUGAUAAAAAGUUUAUUUUCUGCUUACCAUAGGGAAUGCGUUCACAAUAGUGUAUCUUUCCUUUUGUUGGAGUUGGAAUUUCUUCUGUUAUCAGCACUUAAUUAGUCAUGGCAAGUCCUACUUUUAAGACCUUUAGAGAUUAGACAACUUUCCAUUUCAUUAAGUCUUUUGUUCAUUCUAAAAGUUCCCCCUUUACUUAGUUCAGAGGAAAUCGGUUAUCUUACAAGGGAGGUGAUCAUCUUUAGGAGGCAGUUUUACUAAGCUACCUUGGUACUUGAACGGUAGCAAGUGCUGCACUUUGUCAACACUCUGGGUCAAAGUAUAGGCUAGAGAUAAGGGUACUGGCAGACUUAGGGAUGCUGGAUAGACCUGUAGUUCUUUUAAAAUCAUGUUUUCAAGGGAAUUUCCACAAUAAUCCACUCAUGUGCAUUGAUCAGACCAAAAAACUCUCCAAAUAAAAAUCAUGAGUGGAUUUAAAAUGUUUAGAUGAUUCAAUUUCUGUUCCAUUACUAUUGAACUAUAUGAACUAUUACAUUACUUCAGAUAUUUAAGUAUCAACUUUAGUAAGCUCUUUUUGUUAUUGUUUAAAGAAGGUUGCCCAUGGAUCUUUGCCUAAUGUUAAAGCUGAUCUUGCUUUUAUCCUCCUUUGAAAUCCUUUCUAGCACUGGGGUGCUUUGAGGGUGAUUGGAUUAGACUUUGGGAUAUCAUUUCUCAGACUUAGACUUAACAGUUUUUAGAAAUUAAAUAAACUUUCAUUUUUUAAAAAAAGAAAAGAAAUUCUUCUAUGCAUUCUGCUACCUAUAUGAACAAUACAUUUGUUACUAUGGUACUGAAGUCAGUAGAUUGGAAACCAGUUAUUCCUCCUCCCUUUAAAAAUUUUGAAAAUGUGUUAACAAGUGACUGAAACUGUUACCUUGAACAGAGUCUCCAAAACCAGUCUAGAUUUUGCCAAAUGUUUACUUUGUGUUUAAUUCCAGAAGAUUUCUCAAGCUCUGCAAUCUAGGGGUGGUAACUGUGUUUCCAUUAUGCUUGGAGUAAGGUCAGGAGAAUGUGCAUUCUAAGUAAGAGGAACGAUUUCUCUUACCCUUGGACUCCCUAUCACUUGAAGAUUUUACCUCCCCGCAAACACAUAAAACAAAUAGAAAAUAUAUUAACUAGUCCAUCUAAGUUGGCUUCCAAUAGGCUCCAGGUCCCUACCAAUGUGCCUUUCUACUAUGUGAAACCGAGGGACCAAGUCCUGCUGAAAAGCUGGAAAUCCCACCAGGCUGAAGAUCAACGGUGACCACAACUGACCACCCACUCAUCUGACAAGGUAUUUUCCUGAUCCAUUCAUGGGACUCACUACAGGGGUGCCUCGUUUACCCAGCCCGCAGCUUUCAACUCCUUGUGGGAGAGAGCAUGUGAGAGAAUGAGGCAGGAACUGGAGUCUAUGAGUGCUGGAACCAGCUGGCUGCUUCUGCACUGGCAGAAGUGAACUCCAUUCACUCAGACCCACUGCACUCCACCCCUCACAGGAGGCAGCAUGCAGGGUUUUGCUCUGUUGCCCAGGAUAGAGUUCAGUGGCCCAA